UGGGGAAUUUUGGACAAUGGGCGAAAGCCUGAUCCAGCAAUGCCGCGUGUGUGAAGAAGGCCUUCGGGUUGUAAAGCACUUUUGUCCGGAAAGAAAUCCUUGGCUCUAAUACAGUCGGGGGAUGACGGUACCGGAAGAAUAAGCACCGGCUAACUACGUGCCAGCAGCCGCGGUAAUACGUAGGGUGCAAGCGUUAAUCGGAAUUACUGGGCGUAAAGCGUGCGCAGGCGGUUUGCUAAGACCGAUGUGAAAUCCCCGGGCUCAACCUGGGAACUGCAUUGGUGACUGGCAGGCUAGAGUAUGGCAGAGGGGGGUAGAAUUCCACGUGUAGCAGUGAAAUGCGUAGAGAUGUGGAGGAAUACCGAUGGCGAAGGCAGCCCCCUGGGCCAAAUACUGACGCUCAUGCACGAAAGCGUGGGGAGCAAACAGGAUUAGAUACCCUGGUAGUCCACGCCCUAAACGAUGUCAACUAGUUGUUGGGGAUUCAUUUCCUUAGUAACGUAGCUAACGCGUGAAGUUGACCG
rnacentral:rRNA from 1 species